rnacentral:misc_RNA from 1 species
UCUCCGUUGGUGAACCAGCGGAGGGAUCAUUACAGGACUCGCAAGACUCCUACAGCCCUGUGAACUUAACUAUAAGCACGUUGCUUCGGCGGGUGUCUCGGAGGGGGUUCUCCCUCCCCGAGACGCUAAACCCGCCGGCAGCCUACUAUACUCUGUCUCUUUGCGUUGGCAUCUCGAGUACAAUCAAACAAGUUAAAACUUUCAACAACGGAUCUCUUGGUUCUG